rnacentral:rRNA from 1 species
UAAUGAAAUUUAUGACUGGAGUUGUAGCUGGCCUUUAAAAACGGCAUGUGCACGCUCCUUUCACUAAUCCACACACACCUGUGCACCUUCGCGGGGGUCUCUUCGUUAACUCGAAGAGGCUCGCGUCCCUUUACACACCCUUUGUAUGUCUUAAGAAUGUCUACUCGAUGUAAUAAAACGCAUCUAAUACAACUUUCAACAACGGAUCUCUUGGCUCUCGCAUCGAUGAAGAACGCAGCGAAAUGCGAUAAGUAAUGUGAAUUGCAGAAUUCAGUGAAUCAUCGAAUCUUUGAACGCACCUUGCGCCCUUUGGUAUUCCGAAGGGCACACCUGUUUGAGUGUCGUGAAAUUCUCAACCCUCUUCACUUUUGUGAACGUAGUGGAUUGGACUUGGAGGCUUUGCCGGGCUUCACCGCUCGGCUCCUCUCAAAUGCAUUAGUGCGUCUUGUUGCGACGUGCGCCUCGGUGUGAUAAUUAUCUACGCUGUGGUGUGCUUGCUUCUGUGGAGACGCGCUUUCUAACCGUCCGAAAGGACAGCUUUCAUCGAACUUUGACCUCAAAUCAGGUGGGACUACCCGCUGAACUUAAGC